AAGAACACCAAAGAGAAGAUCUCUGUGACCUGGGGUUAGGCGAAGAUUUCUUAGAAAUGGCAACAAAACAUGGCCUAUAGUGGAAAAAAUGGAUGAACUAGACUUCAUCAAAACGUUCGAAACUCUGCUCUCAGAAGACACCGUUAAGGGAAUGAGAAGACAAGCCACAGACUAGGAGACAUGCCUGAGAAAGGACUUGUCUCUGAGAUACACAAAGGAACCUUAAAACUCAGCAGUAAGAAAAAAAAUCCAUGUGAAAAGACGGGCAGAAUAUUUGAAGCAGACACCACCAGAGAAGACACGUGCAUGCAGACAAGCACACGGAGAGGGGUCCGCGUGGGCCCCAUCAGGGAAGUACAGACAAGCACACGGAGAGGGGUCCGCGUGGGCGCCGUCAGGGAAGUACCGACAAGCACACAGAGAGGGGGCCGUGUGGGCGCCGUCAGGGAAGUACCGACAAGCACACGGAGAGGGGUCCGCGUGGGCGCCGUCAGGGAAGUACCGACAAGCACACAGAGAGGGGGCCGUGUGGGCGCCGUCAGGGAAGUGCGGACAAGCACACUGGAGAGGGGUCCGCGUGGGCCUCGUCAGGGAAGUACCGACAAGCACACAGAGAGGGGGCCGCGUGGGCGCCGUCAGGGAAGUGCGGACAAGCACACGGAGAGGGGGCCGCGUGGGCGCCGUCAGGGAAGUGCAGAUGGAAACCACAGCGAGGCCCCUGCACACUCUCCAGGGGGCUCAGACAAUCAAAUAAACUGCCGGCACCUCGAGCUGAGCAGGCCGCGGGGUGGGGGCCUCGUCCACACCCGGCCGAGCAACGCGGCAGAGCCACUGUGGACAGCUUCUCAUCACAGCCAAAGGUGGCCCAGCAGUCCCGUUCCUGGGUCCUUGCUCAAGAGAAAUGAAAACAGAGGCUCACACAUAAA
rnacentral:lncRNA from 1 species